rnacentral:misc_RNA from 1 species
CGGCGCGGCAGCCCGAGGACGUGUCGCGCCUCUUCCUCGCCACGCUCUUCCUGGCGAACGCUGGCAACGUGGAAAUAGUGCAAGGUCCGCCCUUAACGCUGAACACUUUCUCAGUUCGAGUGAUCUCCACAGACGAGCGUCUGUACCGCACCGCGGCCGCGGCUGACGAACAGUUCCUACGAUAGAGGCAGACAGAUAGAUAAAUAUAACUUGUACAUAGAAUGUGACUGAACUACACGCUGCUUGUGUAUUGUGUCUCCACACCCCGACACAGGAGACAAUCCUACCGGGGGCCGUUGAGUGUGAAGUGAUAUUAUUAACUUUGUUGAUUGGCAGUAGUAUAGAUUCAACAUUCAAGUGAACUGUGCUGUGUGUGUGAGUAGUAUGCAGUGGUUAGUGUGACAGAGAGACAGAGGACUUCUGAGAUAUCUUCACUAUUGUGAUGUAUCUUGGGAUCUGUUAAACCAGUUGUGAAUGUCUAUUUGACGGAUAACGGUAUCCAUCAGAUAAAAGGUUUUCAUAAAUUCUUCUUUUAAACGUUCGAAUUCCACUGUAUUUAUGAGAU